GGUCAGGCUUGGUCUAGUGGUUACUUCGUUAAUAAACAAUUCUAUGUCAUGGAAUAAAACCCACACAAUAGUGUAAGCACCACGGACGCUACCCUGAUCUUUU
rfam:Lottia gigantea unplaced genomic scaffold LOTGIsca_71, whole genome shotgun sequence.